rnacentral:rRNA from 1 species
AUCCUGGCUCAGGAUGAACGCUGGCGGCGUGCUUAACACAUGCAAGUCGAACGAUGAAGCCCAGCUUGCUGGGUGGAUUAGUGGCGAACGGGUGAGUAACACGUGAGUAACCUGCCCUUAACUCUGGGAUAAGCCUGGGAAACUGGGUCUAAUACCGGAUAGGAGCGCCUACCGCAUGGUGGGUGUUGGAAAGAUUUAUCGGUUUUGGAUGGACUCGCGGCCUAUCAGCUUGUUGGUGAGGUAAUGGCUCACCAAGGCGACGACGGGUAGCCGGCCUGAGAGGGUGACCGGCCACACUGGGACUGAGACACGGCCCAGACUCCUACGGGAGGCAGCAGUGGGGAAUAUUGCACAAUGGGCGCAAGCCUGAUGCAGCGACGCCGCGUGAGGGAUGACGGCCUUCGGGUUGUAAACCUCUUUCAGUAGGGAAGAAGCGAAAGUGACGGUACCUGCAGAAGAAGCACCGGCUAACUACGUGCCAGCAGCCGCGGUAAUACGUAGGGUGCGAGCGUUAUCCGGAAUUAUUGGGCGUAAAGAGCUCGUAGGCGGUUUGUCGCGUCUGUCGUGAAAGUCCGGGGCUUAACCCCGGAUCUGCGGUGGGUACGGGCAGACUAGAGUGCAGUAGGGGAGACUGGAAUUCCUGGUGUAGCGGUGGAAUGCGCAGAUAUCAGGAGGAACACCGAUGGCGAAGGCAGG